rnacentral:rRNA from 1 species
ACUACGGGAGGCUGCAGUGGGGAAUAUUGGGCAAUGGAGGCAACUCUGACCCAGCAACGCCGCGUGAAUGAUGAAGGUCUUCGGAUUGUAAAGUUCUUUUCUAAGGGAAGAAGAAAGUGACGGUACCUUAGGAAUAAGCCUCGGCUAACUACGUGCCAGCAGCCGCGGUAAUACGUAGGAGGCAAGCGUUAUCCGGAAUGACUGGGCGUAAAGGGUGCGUAGGUGGUUUGACAAGUUGGUAGCGUAACUCCGGAGCUCAACUUCGGAACUACUACCAAAACUGUUGGACUUGAGUGCGCGGAAGGCAGGCGGAAUUCGUGGUGUAGCGGUGAAAUGCUUAGAUAUCACGAAGAACCCCGAUUGCGAAGGCAGCCUGCCGCAGCGUUACUGACGCUGAAGCUCGAAAGCGCGGGUAUCGAACAGGAUUAGAUACCCUGGUAGUC